GAGGUUUUUGUACAGCGACUUAACAGACUUCUAUCACUGUGGUACACGUUCGGCGGAGGCACCAAACUCAUCAUUCACAGUGGCCCCAUGGUCAGGCCCUCGGUCUCUCUGCUUCCCCCUUCCUCUGAGCAGCUCUCUGGGGGCUCGGCCAUGCUGGCCUGCCUGUUGACUGGCUACUCUCCUCAGGGAGCUGUGGUGAGCUGGGACGUGGACGGCACAGAGGUGACGGAGGGGGUCCUUACCAGCUCGGAGCAGGAGAAGAGCGGACGCUUCAGCAGCAGCAGCACCCUGACCCUGAGCCGGGAGCACUGGGAGACAGGGGAGCUGUACUCCUGCAGGGUCCUCCACCACGGACACAGUCAGACCCAGUCCCUCACCAGGAGCCAGUGUCAGGGCUAGACGGGCCGACUGAAGCCCAGGACAGGAGCUCUGUCUGGGGGGAGGGGGCAGGAGAAGCAGACCUGCAGCUCUGAUCAAAUAUGAGUUUGGAUGUUUGUAGAGGUUUGUUCUGUGUGGAGCUCAACUUUAAUAACUGUCACGCUCACAAAUGAGGUUUUGCUAAUAAAGUUUGUAUUGAUGCAUAACA